rnacentral:tRNA from 1 species
AUUUAAAUAGUUUAAAAAAAAUAUUGAUUUGUGGAGUCAAAGAUGUAAGUAAACUUUAAAUU